AUAAUAUGGAAGGGAUAAGGAUAAUAUGGAAGAGCUUCGUUCCUAGUAUAUUUCCAUAAUAACUUAAAUUGAAAUGCCACACUGGACAAGACUGCAGAAUUGUCAUUUCUCUAUUUGUACCCUUAAUUUUAUAUUUUUAUAGAUAUGCUUGGCUUGAACCCAAAUUCACAUAUGUACUAAAAAUGUUUAGUUGGUAAAUUUUUACUUUUCAUUUAUACCUAAACAUUUAACUAUAAAGAAAAACAACUCAGAGAGUCGGCUGAGCUGCAGGAAAAAAAUAUUGUAGAUUGACAAUUAUUUUCAGCUGCCUUACUUCAAUGUUUGUACUACUUCUAGGACAUAGUAAAAAUUUCAAGUUCAUACUGCCCGGGAAGCAGCACUGUCAUUAUUUUUGGACAUAGAAGUGUUAAUACCCUGAUUUUAUGUCAGGGAGAUAUGCCAGAGAGACACUCUAGUUCUCUCAUAUCUGCCUUUCAUGCUAGUAAAUAUGUUUUUUUCUGAAUUUACUAAUUCUUGUGGAAAGACCAACCUGAACUUUCUCCUUAAAAUCAUGCACUAACCAGAUACUUGGCUAAUGCAGUUCAUCAGCUACAGACUUCUGGAAGACUUUGCACUGAAUGCAUAGCACAGCUCAGUCCAGAAAAACAGCCACUCAGGAGCUGCUGAACUCUUCCUACAUGGGCUAUCAUCACCAGAAAACUAAAUUCAAAUAAAUGUUUACCCUUAAAAAAAAUAAUACACUAGGUAUAUUUAUUUUCAUUCAAUUAUUUAUUGAAUGCCUAAUGUUCUAAGCAGUAUACAUAUUCUUUGUCAUGUUAAAACAGUAUGAGGUGCUCUUGGUUACUUGGUUUAACAAAAACAUUUGGUAAUUAACAUUUUCAUUUGAUUAAGCUUGUGAGGUUGGUUCCAAGAAAAAUGAACAUCAAAAUUCCCUUAAUGUGACUUUUACCAAUAAGGAUCACCUCAAAGAUGCUCUAUCAUCCCACCCUGCCUUAUCUUUAGUCUUUAGAGUCUGUCCAGUCCUCUCAUCCAUUUGCAUAUGCUAAUUCAUAUCACAAACAUCGAUCUUAACAGAAAAUAGUUAACAAUUAAAUAGAAGUGUUAACUAUUUGCAAUAAUGUAUAUAUACGUUUUUUGAGGAAAUAUUUUGAUUCCAGCAAUUUUAGUUCUUGUAAAAGAAAUCAAGGACUAUUUAUCAGGAGGAGCCCAGUUAAAAUUGCUAGUUCAAUACUGUACAAAAAAAUUGACAAAAUAGAGUAUGGAAAAGACAUUUCUCCCGUCCUUACCCUUUUAUAAGAAGCUGCAAAUAUGCUACUGGGUGGUAGCGCAGUGGGUUAAGCACAGGUGGCACAAAGCACAAGGUUCAGUAUAAGGAUGCUGGUUCGAGGCCCCGGCUCCCCACCUGCAGGGGAGUCGCUUCACAAGCAGGGAAGCAGGUCUGCAGGUGUCUAUCUUUCUCUCCUCUCUGUCUUCCCCUCUUCUCUCCAUUUC